CCUGCAUAUAUAUAGAACUUAAUUAACUAUUAAGUUUCAAAAGUAUGCAGGAAGCAAUAAAUUCCAUUUAUCACAAAAAUAAUAUUCAACUAAUGGCAAGCUUGCAAAACAAACGUAUCACACUGUAUCCAACCUCUUAGUUUGUACAUAACAAAAAAUGCAAUACAGUGAAAAUCAUCAUUUUAAUCUCACACGUUUCUCCGAUUGGUUUUAUUUACGUUUCUCUGUUCUUCCUUGUCGGAAUAUAUGAGCAGUAAUGCCUAUGACGCCAGUUAGCAUUAGCUUAAUUUCGGUUGCAAAAACACGUUACAACACUCACCAGAGAAAAUCACAGUAAAAAUGUGUUUUACUGCCAGGGAUCAGGUCACGGAUCUUCUUUUCUCUUAACCGUUACCGGAAUUAAUCAAGAAUUUAUCUUAUAGCAUGCGGUAAUUCGCACAACGUGCUACAGCCAGCUACGGUUUUCUUCUUCUUCUAAUAGUUUCCUGCUGUCUAAACCAGAGUGUAACUCACAAGCCACCUGCUGGCGGUUUCUGGUAUGACAAGAAAACUCAAAAUGAAAAUAUAACUAAAUUGCUGGGAACAUUAAAUAACAAAACAAAAUCCUACAGAAAUAAAAUACCAC